rnacentral:rRNA from 1 species
UACAGAGGGGGCAAGCGUUGUUCGGAAUUACUGGGCGUAAAGGCGCGUAGGCGGCCUGCUAAGUCGAACGUGAAAUCCCUGGGCUCAACCCAGGAACUGCGUCCGAUACUGGUUGGCUUGAAUCCGGGAGAGGGAUGUGGAAUUCCAGGUGUAGCGGUGAAAUGCGUAGAUAUCUGGAGGAACACCGGUGGCGAAGGCGACAUCCUGGACCGGCAUUGACGCUGAGGCGCGAAAGCCAGGGGAGCAAACGGGG